GAUUUUCAUUCCAAUUCAAAACCACCUUCUCUCUAAUUAAGUUAUUAAAAAGAGAUUUAAAGGAAAAUAUACUCUAUGGUUAAAUAAAGCUAAAGGCAUUGUGCCCUUGAAUAAACUGGGUGAAAUUCACUCUCUUCAUUUGUACAAAAAAUAUGACAAAGAAGGAAUGGAUAAUCUAUCUCAAAAGUGUUUUUAAUGGCAAAUAAACACCAUUGCAGUUAAUGUCUCUGCAAAUGGAAAGCAGCAACAACAAAACCAGCUGGGUGCUGCAGCAUGAGGUGAUAUAUAAAUAGACGCUGCAUAGAGAGAACACAGCAGUGGAAAGGCAGGUAGAAGUUAGCUCCUGGGGCUGCAGCACUGGCACAGUUAAUCAGACUCCAGAUGGAGAAGGGAAGCUUGGGGGAGGCAGGUACUAGAGAAGCACCGGUUGCCCAUCUGGCAGCUCCUCACGGUUCAUGAAA
rnacentral:lncRNA from 1 species